CCGAGUUAUCAACUCCCAAACCCCUGUGAACAUACCCGAACGUUGCUUCGGCGGGACCGCCCCGGCGCCACCGGCCCGGAACCAGGCGCCCGCCGGAGGACCCAAACUCUUGUUUAAUUAUAGUGGCAUAUUCUGAGUCUCACAAGAAAAUGAAUUA
rnacentral:misc_RNA from 1 species